rnacentral:lncRNA from 1 species
GGAAGAAAUCAUAUAUUGGAUAAAAUUGUUGGAUUACAAUAGUGGAUAUUACAGGAGGAAGAGCAUCCAAAUGUGACGCAAAUCUAAAUAUUUUCUCGACAAAGAAACUUAAACUAAAAGCAUCCAUCAACAUCCCUGAUACUUAACUAAAACAUUACCGAGGAACAUCAUCGAAUAGGAACAACAUCCCUACAACUUAACUAAAACUGAAAGCAUCCAUCAUCAUCAUCAUGAACUGGAACAUCAUCAUCAUCAUCAUCACAUCGCAGUGUACUUGCCAUGCACCCAUAUAAUCAUCCAUGUAUAUUUUGACUCUAAAAGAAAAUAACAAAAUGAACCGUUAAAACAAAAUGCAUUAAGAAGUAAGAACCACUUUGCGCACACUUACUGCUCAUCAGCAUAUUUUUUUGGUCUGGACAGCAGUCUAAUAGCAAAUAAGAAGAAGCAAAUAAACAAGAUAGCACUACAAUUUGAACACAAAUUCGUAUGUGAUUCUGAGAAGAUAGCAGCAUGAGUGUUAGUUGUCCUUGAUGACUAAUCCAGACGCCCCAAUAUACGACACAACCUGCAGAAAACAUGGCUAAAUAAAAUUAUAUGGACAUUAGCCUAAGUGAUGUGCAUAGGGCAAUGUGAUUUACAGUACCACUUCUCUUUUCUUCUCCAGUUAGUUAGCAAACUGGACAAAACGGUUUGUCAUCUGAAACUGAACCAAAACAUCUAUUUCUAGUUGGUUUCGGUCAUCCAACGGGAAAUAGUGAAACCUAUAAGUGCUCACCACGCUUUGAAACCAACCAACAGCCCCAAAUCCACUGAAAUGAAUUUACAUGGUCAUCGUCAGCCUAGAGAUCCAUUGCUAAUUCUUUACAUCUACAGUAAAACUGUUUUGUGUGAACCAAUAGAUCUAUUUAUUUCUAAAUAAAUCCACUGAAACCUACAGCCCCAAAUCUUAUAAAUGUGCAUCGACAGCAGCACAGAACCUAGCACAGCUCAAUGGCCAUGGACACAACGAGCAGUAGCACGGUAAGGAGAGGGAGAGAGUUUACCUUCGAUGGCAUCGUCCAUGACUUGCUCCACGAACUUGACUUGCUCCAUGGCGUCCCCCCUGCAUCGAGUUGGAUUACCUAGUUGAUUUUAAUUAUACUAAGAUUCUUUCAUGUGAAACUAAAUAGUGGAAUUAAUACAUGCAUCACACAAUAUAGGCCUGCGGUUUCUGAAACCCAACCAAAAAAAAGAAGUAGGUUAUCUACUAGGCCAUGCCUUGUACCUUCAGUUUGGUUUCAACUCUGGUCUGAUGUCCCAUGAGAGGAACAAAAAUACAACAAAGUCAAAUAUUGUCAUCGGUAAGACCUUACCUGCCAAUUCAAAAAAGAUAAUUCUAACUUAUCAUGGGAUAAUCAUCAAUAACAUGCACACUGUUGUUCAAAUUCUUACUAUGGCAGUCAUUACGUUAUUGUUCAACGAUGAGUAAAUAUUUUUUGGGACAAUGAACAAAAAGAGAUGGUUCAAACUCUAGACCCAGAAAUGGAUGGUUGCAAACCAGUAGGGUGUAUACUGUUCUAGGUACAUAAUAAUGGGCAAAACACACUAAUUUGUAUUGAAAUUGCUGACAGAGUAACUAAUUUGUAGUGGAAUGGCCAAAAGAGUACCUUAUAUAGGGACAACUUGUAGGUGAUUAUUUCCUUGUAGUGUAUUUCAUGAGUACAGGAUGAUAGUAUUAAAAAAUAAUAGUCCAUCAAGGUUAUCCUUGUAUCUAGUUUGUUCUUUCCCUUUCCAUAUAGAAUUUGCAGAACUAAACCAUUAGUUCUUUCCAGAUUUUAUACAUGUAAUAGGCAGAAUAGAAGUCGUUCCUGACUUUUAGUGGAAAAUAGUAUCCGAAGAAAUACAUCUAUAGAAGCACUGCGUCCUGAACUCAUGUUAACCACAAUAACAAUAUCAUUUUUAGUUGAAAAGGCAAACUUCUAAUAUUUAAAUAUUAUUCAUGAUUUUUAAAGGAUACAUCAAGAUACCAUGUUGACAAAAAGAUAAUACAACUGUGAUAUAUUUUGACUAGAAGUGCAUAUGAAUACAGAACAGAAUUUAUAUUGGACAUUGUACUGAGAUAACACUACAUCAGCUCCGAGAUGUAACAGAAGUACCUAUAUUAUUUUCGGAAAGCAAGGGAAAGCAUCUAACUUACCGCCAAAUAGUGGUUCAAAUAUUCAUCACUUGGUAAUAAUUAAGAACACCUUGCUGAUGCUAUAGUCGUACAUAAUAAUCAUAUGUGUGACUAAGAAAACUUGAAGAUCAACUUUUAUUUCGGAAGGGAAACAGGAGCAGAAUCUUCAAAAUAUAAAUCAAUAACUAACCAUUAAACAGCAAAAGAAAUAAUUCUGCUCAGUUUCAAAGCCAACGUGGCAAUACAUAAGGAACCAUAUACAUAUCGUGGCUGUAGCAUGUGCACCGCAAGCCAUCGUAUACUAAGUUAAGACGUACAACAGAAAUAGUAUAUUUAUGCUUCAUCUGUUCAAAUUACAUGGGAGAACAUUAUAAGAUGAAGAAAUUCCACAAAGCAGCACUAUUUUUCAGUGAAGAAAAUAAAAAUCUAAUGGUUAAAUUGAUAAGAGGAUUUUACACAUAUGUUUAUUUUUCUUCAAUGGGGACAUGAUCACCUUACCUAUAAUGGGGCCAAACCUGAAGACAGGAACUGAGUCGCAUCCAUGACUGGACAAUGGAGGACAUGGUUACUUCCAUCAUGUCACCCAUGUCGUGGGCAGCACCUAUGGUUAGGAUUGGUUUUCGCUGUAGAGAGAAGGGUUAUACAGCCAUUUGGUUGCACGUCUACAGUAGAAGAAAAGAGCAGAGGUUAGGGCAUCUACAACGCUCGCCGCUUGGCCAGUCGCUUACAGAAGAAAGUGAAAAUAUUAUUAAAUUGAAAAACAUCUAAGCGCCCUGCCUUCCAACGCUGGACACUAACUGCCAACGCUAAUCAAACACUAAAUUAAACUGCACAUGCGGCUGAUGCGGGGAAGAAAGGAGGGAAGCGCCCGCUGCAUAUCUUUGCGCCGACAAAGCGUCCGACGCCAGGAUUUGAGAGCCUCAACCGCAAAUCGGUCAGGAAUUCAAGUGGGAAAAAAUCCUAGCGCCUCCCCUAGCGCCCCGCGUUGGAGAUGAGAAAGAGGGAGAUAAAUAAUGAAACCAGGGGAGGGGGUGCACUCACCGGACUAGAGGAGGACGACAUGGCCACCGGCGCCGGAGCCGACGCCAGAACCCUAGCUAUGGGGAGGGUCGCGGGUAGGCUUUAGUGGCCGCGAGGGCUGGAUCUAGCCGGAUGGGAGGGCGCCGCAAU